rnacentral:rRNA from 1 species
GAUGAACGCUGGCGGCGUGCCUAAUACAUGCAAGUCGAGCGAACAGACGAGGAGCUUGCUCCUCUGACGUUAGCGGCGGACGGGUGAGUAACACGUGGAUAACCUACCUAUAAGACUGGGAUAACUUCGGGAAACCGGAGCUAAUACCGGAUAAUAUAUUGAACCGCAUGGUUCAAUAGUGAAAGACGGUUUUGCUGUCACUUAUAGAUGGAUCCGCGCCGCAUUAGCUAGUUGGUAAGGUAACGGCUUACCAAGGCAACGAUGCGUAGCCGACCUGAGAGGGUGGUCGGCCACACUGGAACUGAGACACGGUCCAUACGCCUACGGGAGGCAGCAGUAGGGAACCGUCCGCAAUGGGCGAAAGCCUGACGGAGCAACGCCGCGUGAGUGAUGAAGGUCUUCGGAUCGUAAAACUCUGUUAUUAGGUAAGAACAAAUGUGUAAGUAACUAUGCACGUCUUGACGGUACCUAAUCAGAAAGCCACGGCUAACUACGUG